rnacentral:rRNA from 1 species
UACGUAGGGACCAAGCGUUGUUCGGAUUUACUGGGUGUAAAGGGUUCGUAGGCGGUGCGGCAAGUCGGGAGUGAAAUCUCUGGGCUCAACCCAGAGGCUGCUUCCGAAACUGCUGUGCUUGAGUGUGGGAGAGGCGCGUGGAAUUGCAGGUGUAGCGGUGAAAUGCGUAGAUAUCUGCAGGAACACCCGUGGCGAAAGCGGCGCGCUGGACCACAACUGACGCUGAGGAACGAAAGCUAGGGGAGCAAACAGG